rnacentral:rRNA from 1 species
UACAGAGGGGGCAAGCGUUGUUCGGAAUUACUGGGCGUAAAGGCGCGUAGGCGGCCUGUUAAGUCGAACGUGAAAUCCCCGGGCUCAACCCGGGAACUGCGUCCGAUACUGGCAGGCUUGAAUUCGGGAGAGGGAUGCGGAAUUCCAGGUGUAGCGGUGAAAUGCGUAGAUAUCUGGAGAACACCGGUGGCGAAGGCGGCAUCCUGGACCGAGAUUGACGCUGAGGCGCGAAAGCCAGGGGAGCAAACGGG